rnacentral:rRNA from 1 species
GAUGAACGCUGGCGGCGUGCUUAACACAUGCAAGUCGAACGAAGCACCUUGAUUCGAUUCUUCGGAUGAAGAUCUUGGUGACUGAGUGGCGGACGGGUGAGUAACGCGUGGGUAACCUGCCUCAUACAGGGGGAUAACAGUUAGAAAUGACUGCUAAUACCGCAUAAGACCACAGCACCGCAUGGUGCAGGGGUAAAAACUCCGGUGGUAUGAGAUGGACCCGCGCCUGAUUAGGUAGUUGGUGGGGUAACGGCCUACCAAGCCGACGAUCAGUAGCCGAGCUGGGAGGGUGACCGGCCACAUUGGGACUGAGACACGGCCGAAACUCCUACGGGAGGCAGCAGUGGGGAAUAUUGCACAAUGGGGGAAACGCUGAUGCAGCGAGGCCGCGUGAGCGAUGAAGUAUUUCGGUAUGUAAAGCUCUAUCAGCAGGGAAGAAAAUGACGGUACCUGACUAAGAAGCACCGGCUAAAUACGUG